ensembl:lncRNA
AUGAUUAUCUAUCUAUCUAUCGAUCUAUCUAUCUAUCUAUCUAUCCACAAACUUGUAACAUUGCUUUUUAAAAGAAAAUAUAUGAACAUAUCUAAAUUAACUGACCUCUGGUUAGUCUGUUUUGAAGUUCUCUGUGGAGAAAAUGAAUGGGAUUUUUCCAUCCGGAAACAUGGUGUUGGGCUCUGUUGUGGUGUUUUUAGGUGAAGAGUGGAUUUAGGUGAUUUGAGGGUCGGUUAAAAUUCAGUUUAUGUGUUUACUUGCUGUGAAAGAUCGAUGUAUCUGCUAAUUUCACUGCCCAUUUAGUAUUGUUUGCUCUUACAAUUGAUGUAUGAAGUGGCAUCAUCCACUUAACACUACAUCUGUUUCUAAUAGAUUGCAUUUCAGUGUUCAGAAACACUGGAUGAAUCAAAAAUGGUCCCAUCACUACAGACUCUGUUACCAAACAUGAUCUCUUUUCAAAUUAAAAAGCUGGUAAGUAGUUCUAAGGGAAGAGUGCGUGACAUUUGUUCCACAGAAUGUUUUUCAUUGAAAAAUACCUUGAGCUGUGCGAUGUUUACCACAUGAUGGUGGUUUGUGGCGUGUGAUUGUUCGCAUUUGAAGAUUCGUUGUAAUUUGUUUGUUUCUGUUCCUAUUUAUGCUGGGUAACCCACUGUUAUGAAAGGAAAUGAAAACCACUUAUGUUUUACAGGUUGAAGGAAUGAUAAAAACUGCACUUUUAAUAUAUACAGUAUAUUUGCCUCCCACAGCUUUUACUGUAAAAUAAGAGUUUGACAGCUGGAUUCUUUUGAAUCAGACCACUUUUGACCUUAUGCAGAGGAAGGAAACUUAUUUGCUUGAACCGCAAAUUUGUGCCACUUAUAUAAACAUAAAUUUCAAUGAUUUGGAAGUGAAUUAUUUUUCUUGCAUAAUUACUAAUAUCACAGCACUCAUUUUGUCAAUAAAGCCAUAGAUAUUUGAAAUGCAAGUUAUGGUCUUAUAAGGUCAGUUGUUUAGUAAUGCAUCAUUAAUUCUGUAAAACUAUACCACAUUCAUUUUGCAAUGAUUAUUACCUAACAGAUUUAUUGUGAAUAUAGUAUAUGUUUAUUCACAUAAUCCAUACAGUAUGUACGCCCUGUAAUUAAGUGAAAUAUUUCUUUCCCGAAUGAAAAGGGCAGCUUUCGCAAGCAACAUUGUGAAUGUGUCUGUUGCAAUGUUUCAACAAUUUAUUAAUGUUUGUAGUGUUUUUUAUGAAAAAAAGAAAGAAAAUGGUAUUUGCACAAAAUGUUUGAUUUCCAAAAAAUAUAUGUCGCUACUGAAGUUUCUCUUAUGAAGGAUUGGGAAAAAAAAAAAAAGAUUUAAUCUUCCGGUUAAUGUACAGUGAUGUCAGCUGGUGCUCCAGAUCCUGUGGAUUAAUGCACACACUGUUCUGACAUACCGGUGUGUUAAGUAUGCAUUCAACACAAGCCCACAGACAUGAGGCAUUAUUUAUCAUAUUCCACUUUACCUAUAUUCCAGUUAAAUCAUUGAACUCUUUGCAACUGGCAUUCCAGUUAGGUAUUAUUGUUAAAUUAUAUGGUAUAUUUGUCUUGAUACCUUUAUACUGUACACAAUGCAAGCCAAAACAAUGAAAAAGCAUCAUAUCUGUAUAUUUUUGCAUUAUGCAUUUAUUGAUCCAAAUAAUAUAUUUCAGUAUUGUAUUUUUGAUGGUUGGUCUGAUGUAAGUUUCUGAUGUAACUUGUUUGCUUUUUGUGAUGCAUCUUGAAUAUGACGUUGUGACAGAUGUAUUUAAGUCAUAAAAAAUAAACAUUCCAGUGUAAAUAUUUUAUAUGUUAUUUGUGUUUCUUUCAUUUCAGACCUAUUCAGUUCAUUUUAAUUUUAAAUACAGGUGCAUCUAAAAAAAUUAGAAUAUCGUGAAAAAGUUUUUUUUUCUGCAACUUAUUUCAAAAAGUGAAACUUUAAUAUAUUCUAGAUUUGUUACAUGUAAAGUAAAACAUUUCAAAAGCUUUUUUUGUUGUUGUUGUUUGUUUUAAUUUUGAUGAUUAGAGCUUACAGUUCUUGAAAGUCAAAAAUCCAGUAUCUCAAAAAAGUUCAAGUUAUUUAAAGUAUGUUCAUUUAUGCACUCAAUACUUGGUCAGGGCUCCUUAAGCACAAAUUCCAGCAUCAGUAAUGUUUGGCAUGGAAGCGAUCAGCCUGUGGCACUGCUGAUGCACUAUUGAGCCUUCAGCUUGGAUCGACUGUUUCUCAUCUUUCUCUUGAAAAUAUCCCAUAAAUUCCAUAUGGGCUUCAGGUCAGGCAUGUUGGCUGGCCAAUCAAGCACAAUACUUGGAAGUGGUUUUGGCACUGUGGGCAGGUGCUUAGUCCUGCUGGAAAAGGAAAUCAGCAUCUCCAUAAAGUUUGUCAGCAGAUAGAUGCAUAAAGUUCUCCAAAAUCUUCUGGUAGACGGCUACAUUGACUUUAGACUUGAUAAAACACAAUGGACCAACACCAGCAGACGUCACAGCACCCCACAUCAUCACUGACUUCAGAAACUUCACACUGGACUUCAAGCAGCUUGGAUUCUGUGCCUCUUCAGUCUUCCUCCAGACUCCAGACCUUGAUUUCCAAAUGAAAUGCAAAAUUUACUUUUAUCUGAAAAGAGGACUUUGGACCACUGAGCAUCAGUCCAGUUAUUUUUCUCCUUAGCCCAGAUAAGAUGCUUCUGACAUUGUUUCUGUUUCAGAAGUGGCUUGGUAGCCCUUUUCCUGAAGACGUCUGAGCAUGGUCACUCUUGAUGCACUGACUCCGGCUUCAGUCCACUUCCUUGUGAAGCUCUCCAACGUAUUCUCAAGCUUGCGGUCAUCCCUGUUGCUUGUGCACCUUUUCCUACCCAUUUUUUCCCCUCCAGUCAACUUUGCAUUUAAUAUGCUUUGAUACAGCACUCUGUGAACAAGAGAUAUCCA